GAGGGGGUGGAGAAAAAAAAGGAGAAAUCCUCAAUGUGAAGGUCUGUCUCAAGAGAAAGAGCUCAUAUCUGCCACUCUUGAACAUCCUGCUCCCUCACAUACGGAAAAAUUACAUAUAGCUGGAAGAAGGCCAGCUAUCAAGAUUUACCCGAUCAUGAAAACUUCCGUCAAUUACACCAAGCACCAGUUGAAGAUGCACAGGAUAUUCUACAGAACAGGUUCCCUGUGCCAUAAUGCCACGGUAUGUGGUAACUGAGCAUAUGGGCAGUCAGGCUAGGUUUCUCCUCUCUAAAGUAAACCCGUCACAGACUCAUAACAACAUGUAUGGCUGGGGUCAGGAUGGAAGUGGUGCUGCUCCUGUUUUAACUGAUGAUGUUAGUUUACAAGUUUUUAUGGAACAUUUGAAAAAGCUAGCCGUGUCUAGCUCAUCUUGAUACCAUUCCCUCGUGCUUGAUUAGUACUGACUCCUGUUGUUUUUGACCAUAAUAUUUCAAUUAUUUUAAUAAUUAUACUUUGUAUGGUAAUUAUGGUAAUUUUGUUGUGUCUGACUGAUUAA